rnacentral:rRNA from 1 species
CAGUCGCCACGGUAAUACGUAGGUGGCAAGCGUUGUCCGGAUUUAUUGGGCGUAAAGCGAGCGCAGGCGGUUUCUUAAGUCUGAUGUGAAAGCCCCCGGCUCAACCGGGGAGGGUCAUUGGAAACUGGGAAACUUGAGUGCAGAAGAGGAGAGUGGAAUUCCAUGUGUAGCGGUGAAAUGCGUAGAUAUAUGGAGGAACACCAGUGGCGAAGGCGGCUCUCUGGUCUGUAACUGACGCUGAGGCUCGAAAGCGUGGGGAGCAAACAGGAUUAGAUACCCGUGUAGUCCCUGUCUCUUAUAC